rnacentral:rRNA from 1 species
AGAGUUUGAUCCUGGCUCAGGAUGAACGCUAGCGGCAGGCUUAAUACAUGCAAGUCGAGGGGCAGCAGGCCUGUAGCAAUACAGGUGCUGGCGACCGGCAAACGGGUGCGGAACACGUACGCAAUCUACCCAUAACUGAGGAAUAGCCCUCCGAAAGGAGGAUUAAUACUUCGUAACCUUAUUGAGUGGCAUCACUUGAUGAGUAUAGCUCCGGCGGUUAUGGAUGAGCGUGCGGCUGAUUAGGUAGUUGGCGGGGUAACGGCCCACCAAGCCUGCGAUCAGUAACUGGUGUGAGAGCACGACCAGUCACACGGGCACUGAGACACGGGCCCGACUCCUACGGGAGGCAGCAGUAAGGAAUAUUGGUCAAUGGACGCAAGUCUGAACCAGCCAUGCCGCGUGAAGGAUGAAGGUCCUCUGGAUUGUAAACUUCUUUUAUAGGGGACGAAACCCUCGCAUUCUUGCGAGAUUGACGGUACCCUAGGAAUAAGCACCGGCUAACUCCGUGCCAGCAGCCGCGGUAAUACGGAGGGUGCAAGCGUUAUCCGGAUUCACUGGGUUUAAAAGGGUGCGUAGGAGGGCAGGUAAGUCAGUGGUGAAAUCCUAGAGCUUAACUCUAGAACUGCCGUUGAUACUAUCUGUCUUGAAUCCCGUGGAGAUGAGCGGAAUAUGUCAUGUAGCGGUGAAAUGCUUAGAUAUGACAUAGAACACCAAUUGCGAAGGCAGCUCGUUACACGAAGAUUGACUCUGAGGCACGAAAGCGUGGGGAUCAAACAGGAUUAGAUACCCUAGUAGUCC